AGAAAAAGGUUACACUCUGGCAUUAUUUGGACCGAAAAAACAACUUCCGGAUUGAAUGAAUGAACCAUAAAAACAUCGACAAAGCAGUGCAUGGAUGGCUACAGCGAGAGGACGAGCAGGAUGUUUAUGAGCCACUAUUGUCCUGAGGACACAGUGGCGAGUCCAAAGGUCGCUCUUUUUCAACUACUACUGCUGCUGCUGUGACCGUCUGAUUCUGGGCCCAUCAUUAACCAGCUUUUAACUGCAGGUUGGUGGAGGACGGUGUGGAGCCUCUCGCUGUGAUGGUGUCGCGACUCCUCUUCGUACGCCAUGUCCCUGUCGGCCUGCGGGAGCGCCAGGAACCGCCGGAUGGUGCACAGGUUCUCCCAAAGGGUGCGGUUCUCCGGGCUGGGGUUUUCCUUCCAGCGGAGCAGCUCGCACAGCCAACCCUGCGAGGGGACA